rnacentral:lncRNA from 1 species
GUUUGGAGAGAACAGACUCUUCUGAACAUUUGACACCCUGUUGGGAAUUCCCAUUUCCAGUACGUCCUCGUUCUUCAAGUGACUGGCAUGAGGAAUGCGUCCAGUAUCCCUGUGUUCAAUUUGCCACCCGUGGAAACAUCCAUAAUGUGACUCAGAGAGACAUCUCAGGUGUUCCUCCAUCUGGCCAGAGACUCCACAAACGGUCUCAUGUCCUACCGCCUCUGGUUGAUCCUCCCGUGCCUAUUAAUCAUUGCUUUCCUGAUCUCUCCCCAACCAAACGCCUUCUGCCUUUGCCACGUACGGUUUCUAAGGGACUCAACAUGGACCCGUGUUCAGACACAGCCUUCAGACAGGACAAGGACAGGAUGAAGACCAAGGAAGAGGAGAGGGAGAACGAUAGAGUGGAGAUACUGAAGGCAGUGGAAAAAGAGGUGGAGAGGAAAUGGAAGAAGUUGCAGAGGAACUCACCAGCUCAUGGAUUCCUGGAACAAAAGGAGAUGGUAGACAUGAUGAAGGCAAUGGAAGCUAAGAGGGAGAAGAAAAGAGUUGAGAUCCUUGAAUUUGCAAAAAAACAGCUUGAGAGGAAAUGGCUCGAGAUGCAGAAUGCAGGUCAAAAAUCGAAGGGAGAUAAGAGUGAGGUGCAUUUUGCAGAGAAGGAACUGGAGAACAACCUGAAAGGCCAGAUGAAAAACAUCCAGAAAUCUCUUGAAGAAAUAAAAACAGAAAAUGCAGAGAAGGAUUUAACAUUGUCCGAGAUAUUUGAUGAAGAGAUACAGAGAGGUAAAGAGAGGAUGAAGAUUGUAGACAAGUUGAAGAGGGAGAACAAAAUGGAGGGCAAACUCAGGUUGGAGGAAAAGAAAAAGAAAGAGAAGGAGAGGAUUCUGACCCUGGAGAACGAGAGGAAAGAAAAUGAAAUACAGGAGAAACUGAAAUUGGAAGAAGAGAAAAGGAGAGAAAGGGAGCAAUUUAAGGUCCUUGAGAAGGAUAUUAAGGCAAAGGGUCUGGAAGAGAAACGCCGGUUUAAGGAAGAAAAGGAGAGGAUAGAGAACCUACAGAAGGAAAAGAAGGUAAGACUUAAGCAAGAGAAAUUAAGAUUGGAGGCAGAGAAGAGGAAAGAGAAGGAGAUGGCAAAGACUCUGAAGAAGGAGAAGAAGGAAAAAGGAAUGAAAGAGAAAGUAAGAUUGGAGGCAGAGAAAAGGAAAGAGAAGGAGAUGGCAAAGACUCUGAAGAAGGAGAAAAAGGAAAAAGAAAUGAAAGAGAAAGUAAGAUUGGAGGCAGAGAAAAGGAAAGAGAAGGAGAUGGCAAAGACUCUGAAGAAGGAGAAGAAGGACAAAGAAAUGAAAGAGAAAGUAAGCUUGAAAGAAGCUAAAAGGGAAAAAAAGGAGAUAACAAAGUGUCUGGAGAAGAAGAAGACCAGACAAGCAAAAGAGGAGAAAUGUAGACUUGAGCGAGAGAAAAAGAAAGAAAAGGAGAUGAGGAAAAACAUGAAGAAGGACAAAGAAAUGGCCAAGAAAAUGUUAGCUGAAGCAGAGAAACAAAGAGGACGUGAGGAGAAGAAGUGCUUGCAGGAAGAGAAGGAGCGCGAAAAAGCUAAGAAAGGGUUAGCUAAAGCUGAGGGAAAAAACUACACAAAAGCUGUUGAAGAGCUACAAAUGCAGGAAGAGGAAUAUAGAAAGCAUCAACUAAACACUAAGGGAACAGCAGAGAUGAAGAAGGAACAGGAGAGGUCAGACAACAACAAGCGAAAGAGAAUAUUACUGACAGAGAACAUCAUUUUAGUCCGUCAGGCAAACAGGAUGGACAGACACAAGACCCCAUCACUGAAGGAGUCAGACUCAGAGGAGUGGGCAGAUACAGAUGGUGAUGAUGAGUCUGAGACUGACUGGUGAAGACUAAAUGCCCAGUCACUUGACAUGCAACAGAUUUCAAAAGGAGUUAGGGAAGGAAAGUGGUAAAAAGAUUGAAAGCUAAGAGACAUCUAUUAUGGAUACAAGAUGCAUAAGAAACAUCUACUAGCAGAGAUCUUUAUAUGACACCUAAGCAGCUAAAAGAUCUUAAAUUGCCAUCACCAUAAUCUUAUGUCUUUGAAUAAAGGAUUACAUGCAGCAGCAAAAGCCAACAUUGUAUCCAGAUCUGACAUUUCUAAAUAGAUAAAACUUUACAUUCUGCUGUAUUGGUUGCUUGUUUCAAUUAAACAAUUUUCAAAUCACCCUUUCUGGAAGACAACAAGACAAAAUAAACUCCCACGACUCUCCCAUCUUACUCAGGGGGAAGUCAUUGAAAGAAAUCCCUUCAUAUUUUGUUGAAUAGUAAAAGCUGGCAAUGUAAAAUGUAAAAUGGUAUGUGUUCCUGUGUCUAAAAUAAAGUUAAUUAUGCCCAACGACUCAGGGAUGACUCCAAGGUCAUGUGUUCCCGGGCCUAACCAAACUGCUUUGAGAAUUCCAGGACUCAGGGACUCCAAGUCUGGUCGCUUAGACUUACUAAUGAGUGUGUAAUUACCAGUAUCCCUACGAGCUUGAGUAUGGAGAUGAAUGAGGAGUGCCAUCGUAAUCUAUAUUCCAAAGUAACACAAUUUAUUCCACUUGUUAGAAAUCGGCCGUUUUGUAUAGUGGUUGUAAUAAUUAGCAUACCCGUUUGUCAGGGGAGAGAGAAAGUAUAUUAUUUAUUGCAGCAUUAGAAAGUCUUGUUCAUGAGGUUACGGACCUGAUCUUCCUUACACAACCUCAAUCUCAUCUCAGUCAAUCUCUUCUCACUGUAAUGUUGGUUACAAGCUGAUAUAUACAUUGAAGGGUGUGUCUACCUAGCAAAGAUCAGGUUUCCAAGACAGUAACCCCCAUGCCAAAUGGCCAAUCGUAAACAUUCUUUUGGUCAUUAGAGCACAACCUAUAGAGAGAUAAUCUAAACAGAGAGGUUUCUGUUGUUCUCAUUAUCUAGGCACAUGCACUUCCAAUGAAAUGUACAUUCAUAUUGUAAUUUUCAAUGCUCAGAUUCCACACACUCAAGUAAUAAAGUUACAAUACAAAACAUAGUUACAUGCCAACACGAUUCAACGUCCUCCCAACUAGCCUAACGGUCUACUAAUUAUACCAUAAGUAUUUAAGACACUAUAGCAUGAAGGUAUGCUAGGAGCUUCUGUUAAAGAUAGACUUGCAGAACUAAGUUCAAUCACUAUUCAUCCCACCCAGACAGGCUGUACUCGCCCAUUGCAUCUAUAAUAGGAUCACCUCACCUUGGCUAAAACAAAAAAAACAAAUAAACUGGCAUUCACACAUUUACAUAUAUCCAAUUAGCACCAUCCAAAGCUGGACACAUGGUUUUGCAUUUUUCUUCAUCUGGUAAACAUUUACCUGUAACAAAUGUUACAUGACAUGUACAGCAUUGAAACCUAUUGGAGAGUUCAUCCCUUUAUGGGACACACAUGAAAAGACCAAACAUCAGUGCAGUUAAUCCAACAGAAGUCAUACUCCUACUUUGUUGAAUUUUCCAUCCUCACACCUGGUUUGUCUGAGCAGAUGGGGCUACCUUGACCCCCACAGUGUAUGUCUGUUCCUUUCAGGAUGUAAAUAGGCCCAUUGGUGUGAGAUUAGGAUGUUCCACUGAGUUGAGACACCAGAAAACACAGUACCUUCACAAACCUUCCAAAACACAUCUUUCAUUACACUACAUGUUCCAUGAGAAAAACUUUAUUUUUCCUGAAAAUAAAAGGGAAAUGACCGUGGCAUCAGAAUAGCCUUUGAAUAGCAACCUGUCAAACCAAAAUAGGAACAUUAGUUUGCAAUGGGAAAAGUUUAGAAAAACAUGAUGAGUAAAAGACAUCACAUUCUCUUCNNNNNNNNNNNNNNNNNNNNNNNNNNNNNNNNNNNNNNNNNNNNNNNNNNNNNNNNNNNNNNNNNNNNNNNNNNNNNNNNNNNNNNNNNNNNNNNNNNNNCAAACCAAAUCAUGAUCUUGCAUAUUGCACCCUGCAAGUUUUUUAAUUGAGUUUAUAAUGUGUUAUUGCUGAAAAAAUUUAAAUAUUUGUGUAUGACCUUGAUGAAACUAUGUACACAGCUAGUCUAUAUGACCCGACGUCUUGUUCUAGAUGUGGGCACCUAUAUCAAAGGGAACAGGAGAGACUCCAUGUUCUAAAACCAGAAGAAAAUAUAAAAGUCCAUCUUUCUUGCACCCAGUUUAUUUAUAUGAACACCACUACAUCAUUGUCAGAAUAAGAAUUGCCCCUGUGCAUCCCUCUGCCAUGCUCUGCCAGCAUCCCAGAGUUGUCUCUUCACUGUUGACAUUGAGACUCAUGUUUUGUGGGUACUAUUUAAUGAUUCUGCCAGUUGAGGACCUGUGAGGCUUCUGUUUCUCAAUCUAGACACUCUAAUGUAUUUGUCCUCUUUCUCAGUUGUGGACCGGGGCCUCCCACUCCUCUUUGUAUUCUGGUUUGAGCCAGUUUCCGCUGCUCUGUUCUGUGACUACUACACAUCGUUUAACGAGAUUAUCUUUUUGUUGGCAUUGACUUGCCCUCAUUUCUCUGAACAUAAAUAGACUGAUGCUUUUCAGAAUAAAUUAUUUGUUUCUGAUUAGCAAAGACAACGUGCCACUGGAACAGAGGGGUAAUGCUUUCUUCAGCCGUUUCCAGCUACAAUAGACUCUACAACAUUAACAAUGUCUACACUGUAGGCUUACAUUAAAUAUGAAAAUUAAUAAAACUUCAGUUAAACCGUUUAUUUCUAACAUUGAAAAGGCCAUAAUAUGUGAUACAUUUCAGAAGGUUACCUGCUUUCCUACAUUUUCAACAGUAGACUACAAUGCGUGCCUUCAGGUUCCACAGUUCCACUGAGAAUGUAUUGACACUUAUUAGGGCAAGUCGGUGUAAUUCCGAGCCAUACAAAUACGAUAUUCAGAUUUAAAACAAUUGAACUUCUACCAGAGGCGUAGCUAUGAUCACAAUAUAUUCGGGACUUAGCCCACCCCCCUGCCCCGCCCGGGACAGAAAGUACAGGCUUUUGAAUGUUCAUGCGGAAAUGUUCGAUGUACACGCUAGCGGCCUACUUGUCAUAAUGCGUGAUCGGAAUUUUAGAUGAAUAGAUUAGGGGCUAUUUUUUUAUUAUUAUUAUUUUGGGUCAAUUUGAGAUCCGGGGCUAUUCAUAAAAGAUCGGGAGCUAUAGCCCGGGACGCCCAGGCCUACCGACAGGGGCGUCGGACUGGGGGUAAAACCGAUACUGAUUACCAGCGCCCAAGGGGAGAGAGGGCCCUUGAAAAGUCUGGAAUAUACUUUAUUUCACCUGAAUAUUUUCAUAUCCUAAUUACAUUUCAUAAUGCAUGUCAGAUGAAAUGUAAAGUGUAUUGGCUGAAUAACUUGGUUGAUUGACUGACUACAUUUUGUAUACAAAAAAUAAUAUCUAAGGUCUCACCCACCCCUUGCUAAUGCGCCAAAUGGUUUAGUCCACCUGCACGCAUUUUGUUUAGUUCAGUUGAGCAUCUGGUGGAGACGUGGAGCGCUAGGUGGAAAAUAAAGGAAAGACAGGAUAAGGAGAGAAAACUAAAUGAGUGAAAGCAAUUGCUGACUGACUUAUUUUCAAAGAAAGGUGAGCACAAACUAGAAAACGAAAUGGUGCUAAACUACUUGAAUAUCUCCGCGACCGUUAGGGCUAAAAACGGAUUGAGACAACCAAUAUAAGAGCAGAACAUACACUUUCAAAUGAAAAUUUGGUUAUACAUGAAAUCUGAGGUAAAGGCUUAAUUAAUAAACUCCACUAACAAUGCUGUUUGCAUACAACACAACAUUAUAGUAUCCUAAUUAAAAACAUGUUUAAUUUUAAAUUAAUAGGCUAUAAUAUCUAUAAUUAGCAAUAAUAGGCUAAUCAGUGUCAUAGGUAGCUUGGUAGCUCAUUGGUAGAUAGAUAUCCUGUCAACAUUAUAGUUAUGUCAGAUUCAGUAGAAGCAGAUGUUAACAUUGUGAAACACAUGGCCCUCAGUUGAGGUGAGCUUAUAUCAAUAUUAAAACAAACCAUGUUUAGCCAUUUUGACUGAAAUGUGUCAAGUAACACUAAUAUCUUAAUGUAUUUUAUUAUAUCACAUUACAAUUAGGAUAAGAGAUCAUUAUCAAGUGUAUCCUUCUUAGAGAAAGAUGAUAGAGAAGAUGUAAUUGAGGAUGAUGGGAGUGAAGACAGCAGGGAGCACAGUGGAAAUGAGAGAUGAGGAACUGGAAAGUAGGCAGAGCAGUACAGAAGAGUUUUUUCCAGAGGAUCCAGGACUAUGGCCAGAUAAAUUAACGAAAAAUUUAGUAACCACAGUAAAGUAGGGUAGAGAAUGUUGGGAAAGGUUUGAAAUGUGUGUAGAGAAAUUAUCAGGCUACUCUAAG